UACGUAGGGGGCUAGCGUUGUCCGGAAUCAUUGGGCGUAAAGCGCACGUAGGCGGACUCUUAAGUCGGUGGUGAAAUCCUGGAGCUCAACUCCAGAACUGCCUUCGAUACUGAGAGUCUCGAGUCCGAGAGAGGUGAGUGGAACUGCGAGUGUAGAGGUGAAAUUCGUAGAUAUUCGCAAGAACACCAGUGGCGAAGGCGGCUCACUGGCUCGGUACUGACGCUGAGGUGCGAAAGCGUGGGGAGCAAACAGG
rnacentral:rRNA from 1 species